rnacentral:lncRNA from 1 species
UUUUCCAGUAAAUCUUUUGUUUUGUUUUCACAGCCAUUUUGAUUUUGCAUCUGACAUUUCAUUCACUUUCUGAUCUUUCUCUGUAUGCUCGAUUUCCACCAAACUGCUCACAUCUUGAACCGCUCCCUCUUUUUGUUCCUCAUUUUCAUUCUUCUGAUCAUCCUUAAAAUUAUUACAUAUAUCCAUUUUAUCUAAUGCCGCUUCUUUUGUUUCAAGCUCAUUGUCUUCAACAACUACAUUCUUCUUCUCAAUCACAUCCUCAGCUUUUUUAUAAUUGCUAGAAUCAUCACAUUUGUUCUCAAUUAAAUCUUUUGAUUUUGGGGAAUAUCAUCUCCAAUCCUCUGUCAUUUUGACAGGGCAAUAUCAUGGGC